UCCGUAGGUGAACCUACGGAAGGAUCAUUGUCGAUGCCUAAAACAUCAAACGACCCGCGAACGCGUUAACAAACAAACCGUCCGCGCUGGGGUUGGGGGAGCCCUCCCCCCCGGUGCGCCUAAACCAAACCCCGGCGCAGGUCGCGCCAAGGAACUUGAAAUGAACCUGCUCGUCCCCCGCCCCGGCCUCGGUGCGCGGGGGGCGAAGCGUUCUUGUCGUAUUACUCACAACGACUCUCGGC
rnacentral:misc_RNA from 1 species